rnacentral:misc_RNA from 1 species
GUCCAAGAACCCAUAUAUUCCAUCCGAAUCCCUAGGAUCUAGAAGCAAUACAACUCUUAGAAGCACUCAACACCAUUGAAUAGAAGAAGAGAACCCAUCCAGAGAACUAUUGAUGUCAUGACCAAUUGAUGGCUCGAGUUAAAGAAGAAAUUGGAAUUUGCAAGGAGAGGCUUCCAUUAGCAAAGAGAGAAGACUAGAAAGGCGCAU